rnacentral:rRNA from 1 species
CCUACGGGAGGCAGCAGUGGGGAAUAUUGGACAAUGGGCGGAAGCCUGAUCCAGCCAUGCCGCGUGUGUGAAGAAGGCCUUUUGGUUGUAAAGCACUUUAAGCGAGGAGGAGGCUACUAGUAUUAAUACUACUGGAUAGUGGACGUUACUCGCAGAAUAAGCACCGGCUAACUCUGUGCCAGCAGCCGCGGUAAUACAGAGGGUGCGAGCGUUAAUCGGAUUUACUGGGCGUAAAGCGUGCGUAGGCGGCUGAUUAAGUCGGAUGUGAAAUCCCUGAGCUUAACUUAGGAAUUGCAUUCGAUACUGGUCAGCUAGAGUAUGGGAGAGGAUGGUAGAAUUCCAGGUGUAGCGGUGAAAUGCGUAGAGAUCUGGAGGAAUACCGAUGGCGAAGGCAGCCAUCUGGCCUAAUACUGACGCUGAGGUACGAAAGCAUGGGGAGCAAACAGGAUUAGAUACCCUGGUAGUCCAUGCCGUAAACGAUGUCUACUAGCCGUUGGGGUCUUUAGAGACUUUAGUGGCGCAGCUAACGCGAUAAGUAGACCGCCUGGGGAGUACGGUCGCAAGACUAAAACUCAAAGGAAUUGACGGCUUGGAGGACGNGCGACGGCGACACGAGGGGAGGAGG